CAGCAGCCACGGGAAUACGAAGGGUGCAAGCGUUAAUCGGAAUUACUGGGCGUAAAGCGUGCGUAGGCGGUGAGUUAAGUCUGUUGUGAAAUCCCCGGGCUCAACCUGGGAAUGGCAAUGGAUACUGGCAAGCUAGAGUGUGUCAGAGGAUGGUGGAAUUCCCGGUGUAGCGGUGAAAUGCGUAGAGAUCGGGAGGAACAUCAGUGGCGAAGGCGGCCAUCUGGGACAACACUGACGCUGAGGCACGAAAGCGUGGGGAGCAAACAGGAUUAGAUACCCCCGUAGUCCCUGUCUCUUAUAC
rnacentral:rRNA from 1 species